AGAAUAUAAGGUUAUGCCUUGUGUUGAGAUUUCCUGUUAAGGAAUACUCCAAAGAUCUAGGUUUUUAUCAAAACUUGAAGCACAACAGAAUGUGUUAAAAGCUAUUGAUAACUACCAAUAACGCAUC
rnacentral:misc_RNA from 1 species